rnacentral:rRNA from 1 species
GGGUCAGUAGGUUGGUCGUGCCACCGGUACGUACUGGUCUCACUAAGUCCUCCUUCCUGAAGAACCGUAAUGCCAUUAAUUUGGUGUUGCGGGGAAACAGGACUGUUACUUUGAAAAAAUUAGAGUGUUUAAAGCAAGCUAACGCUUGAAUACAUUAGCAUGGAAUAAUGAAAUAGGACGAUCGAUCCUAUUUUGUUGGUUUCUAGGAUUGACGUA